UGAGGAAUAUUGGUCAAUGGGCGAGAGCCUGAACCAGCCAAGUAGCGUGAAGGAUGACUGCCCUAUGGGUUGUAAACUUCUUUUAUAAAGGAAUAAAGUCGGGUAUGGAUACCCGUUUGCAUGUACUUUAUGAAUAAGGAUCGGCUAACUCCGUGCCAGCAGCCGCGGUAAUACGGAGGAUCCGAGCGUUAUCCGGAUUUAUUGGGUUUAAAGGGAGCGCAGACGGGGGAUUAAGUCAGUUGUGAAAGUUUGCGGCUCAACCGUAAAAUUGCAGUUGAUACUGGUUCCCUUGAGUGCAGUUGAGGCAGGCGGAAUUCGUGGUGUAGCGGUGAAAUGCAUAGAUAUCACGAAGAACCCCGAUUGCGAAGGCAGCCUGCUAAGCUGUAACUGACGUUGAGGCUCGAAAGUGUGGGUAUCAAACAGGAUUAGAUACCCUGGUAGUCCACACGGUAAACGAUGGAUACUCGCUGUUGGCGAUAUACUGUCAGCGGCCAAGCGAAAGCAUUAAGUAUCCCACCUGGGGAGUACGCCGGCAACGGUGAAACUCAAAGGAAUUGACGGGGGCCCGCACAAGCGGAGGAACAUGUGGUUUAAUUCGAUGAUACGCGAGGAACCUUACCCGGGCUUAAAUUGCAGAUGAAUUACGGUGAAAGCCGUAAGCCGCAAGGCAUCUGUGAAGGUGCUGCAUGGUUGUCGUCAGCUCGUGCCGUGAGGUGUCGGCUUAAGUGCCAUAACGAGCGCAACCCUUGUUGUCAGUUACUAACAGAUUCCGCUGAGGACUCUGACAAGACUGCCAUCGUAAGAUGUGAGGAAGGUGGGGAUGACGUCAAAUCAGCACGGCCCUUACGUCCGGGGCUACACACGUGUUACAAUGGGGGGUACAGAGGGCCGCUACCACGCGAGUGGAUGCCAAUCCCCAAAACCUCUCUCAGUUCGGACUGGAGUCUGCAACCCGACUCCACGAAGCUGGAUUCGCUAGUAAUCGCGCAUCAGCCACGGCGCGGUGAAUACGUUCCC
rnacentral:rRNA from 1 species